UAGGGAAUCUUCCACAAUGGGCGCAAGCCUGAUGGAGCAACGCCGCGUGAGUGAAGAAGGUUUUCGGAUCGUAAAGCUCUGUUGUUAAAGAAGAACACGUAUGAGAGUAACUGUUCAUACGUUGACGGUAUUUAACCAGAAAGUCACGGCUAACUACGUGUCAG
rnacentral:rRNA from 1 species